CAGUCGCCACGGUAAUACGAAGGGGGCUAGCGUUGUUCGGAAUUACUGGGCGUAAAGCGCACGUAGGCGGAUAUUUAAGUCAGGGGUGAAAUCCCGCAGCUCAACUGCGGAACCGCCUUUGAUACUGGGUAUCUUGAGUAUGGAAGAGGUUAGUGGAAUUGCGAGUGUAGAGGUGAAAUUCGUAGAUAUUCGCAGGAACACCAGUGGCGAAGGCGGCUAACUGGUCCAUAACUGACGCUGAGGUGCGAAAGCGUGGGGAGCAAACAGGAUUAGAUACCCGUGUAGUCCCUGUCUCUUAUAC
rnacentral:rRNA from 1 species